rnacentral:hammerhead_ribozyme from 1 species
AUCCAGCUGACUAGUCCCAAAUAGAACGAAACACGUGUCCUGGAU